UACAGAGGUCCCAAGCGUUGUUCGGAUUCAUUGGGCGUAAAGGGUGCGUAGGUGGCGCGCUAAGUCAGGUGUGAAAUUUCGGAGCUUAACUCCGAAACUGCAUUUGAUACUGGCGUGCUUGAGGACUGGAGAGGAGACUGGAAUUUACGGUGUAGCAGUGAAAUGCGUAGAGAUCGUAAGGAAGACCAGCGGCGAAGGCGGGUCUCUGGACAGUUACUGACGCUGAGGCACGAAGGCCAGGGGAGCAAACGGG
rnacentral:rRNA from 1 species